rnacentral:rRNA from 1 species
UACGUAGGGUGCAAGCGUUGUCCGGAAUUAUUGGGCGUAAAGAGCUCGUAGGCGGCUUGUUGCGUCGGCUGUGAAAUCCCGUGGCUUAACUGCGGGCUUGCAGCUGAUACGGGCGGGCUGGAGUUCGGUAGGGGAGACUGGAAUUCCUGGUGUAGCGGUGAAAUGCGCAGAUAUCAGGAGGAACACCGGUGGCGAAGGCGGGUCUCUGGGCCGGAACUGACGCUGAGGAGCGAAAGCGUGGGGAGCGAACAGG